UACGGAGGGUGCAAGCGUUGUCCGGAUUUAUUGGGUUUAAAGGGUGCGUAGGCGGCCCGUUAAGUCAGUGGUGAAAGCCUCCAGCUCAACUGGAGAACUGCCAUUGAUACUGGCGGGCUUGAGUACAGACGAGGUAGGCGGAAUUGAUUGUGUAGCGGUGAAAUGCAUAGAUACAAUCAGGAACACCGAUUGCGUAGGCAGCUUACUAGGCUGUAACUGACGCUGAGGCACGAAAGCGUGGGGAGCGAACAGG
rnacentral:rRNA from 1 species